GAGAGGAGGAGGAAGAGCUUGGCUGAGAGUGAGAGGAGGAGGAAGAGUACUCUCUAAUGAAAUGAAAUGUUAUCAACCAUGGUUUGACGAUGAGAGAGGCUGGACAGAGGGUUAAUCUAAGCCGAUGUACUGUUGCCUCUGUAAUCCGGACACUUAGACUUGAAAACAGGACUGAGAAACAAAGAGGUGCAGGUGGAAAGCUCAGGGUUUUCAAUGAGGCAGGAAGCAGCAGUUACAAACUGGGUUUUGGCAAACAAUGCCAUCACACUUAGAGAGAUCCAAAGCAUACGUGCUGAGAUGCAUGUUGCACCAUGUUAUAAUUGAAUAAAAUAUGAUUUUUGUACUCA